rnacentral:sRNA from 1 species
AUGUACCACUCGUACACUCCGGUUCCUGUGCGCCGCCCGCACCCACCUGACGACUGCUAGCGCACCGCCCGGUUGCGCUGUGCC